GCGGAAACAAUUUAAUAAAAAAAUACGAGUCAACGAAAACCACUAAAUGCAGUUAUUUACAACCUAGCAUUCUAUGUGCUUAAGAGUGUACGAAACAAACAUAAACAGAGCAUAAGCGUCUAGGUGCAGUCAAGUAGGAUCAUAACUAAUUUACAACACCCUCGGGUGAAAUCCUACAUUUAUUUAGUCUGUCAGAACGCCGAAGCAGUCCUCGUAGGCCACCAACGCCUCAACUAUCAACUAG
rnacentral:lncRNA from 1 species